GUUUGGUCUAUAUAUAUGGCAGCCAUGAUUAUAGUAACUGAGUGCCAUUCAACAAGGACCUGAUCCAAUAACCAGUGAAGUCAAUGAAAUGACAUUCUGGACACCAGCUCUCAUAAUGAUCUCCCACUGGCGAUGGCACACUUUCCUUAUCUGAUUUUACAUUUUAACUUAUUCUGUUUUAUGUUUUGAGAUCUUUGUCAGUCUUAAUGUAUGCAUUUCCCUGGACUGGAAAAAUUUUCUCUUGACUUGCUGACAUAAUGCUUAAGAUACAAGUGAAGAGCAUCCACAACACCUGAAGAAUAAAGGAAACAGGUUUGGACUAGAGAGGGAUCCUGACUGAAAGAUUCUGCCAGUAAAACUGCUAAAACGUGUGGUAUCAGCUGUGACUGGAAAUAGCCGGGCCAACAUAAUGUGAGAGGCUGUUCUUGUGAUAUUUCCACUUCAGUCAGAAGAAGGAAGAACUAAAAAUCGAAUAAGACGACCUAUUCUUAUUCCAGGAAAGCUUUGUAAGAAAUCAAGAAGUAUAAAUAAGCAACCAAAAAUCUGAGGAAUAUGUGAAAUGAAAUCCUUCACGCUUAACUUGAUUAUGGGAAUUUCUGAACUGUCUACCUC